rnacentral:rRNA from 1 species
CGAACGGGUGAGUAAUGCGUGACCAACCUGCCCCAUGCUCCAGAAUAGCUCUUGGAAACGGGUGGUAAUGCUGGAUGCUCCAACUUGACGCAUGUCUUGUUGGGAAAGUGUUUAGUGGCAUGGGAUGGGGUCGCGUCCUAUCAGCUUGUAGGCGGGGUAAUGGCCCACCUAGGCUUCGACGGGUAGCCGGCCUGAGAGGGCGGACGGCCACAUUUGGGACUGAGAUACGGCCCAGACUCCUACGGGAGGCAGCAGGGG